GACGAACGCUGGCGGCGUGCUUAACACAUGCAAGUCGAACGGAAAGGCCCUGCUUUUGUGGGGUGCUCGAGUGGCGAACGGGUGAGUAACACGUGAGUAACCUGCCCUUGACUUUGGGAUAACUUCAGGAAACUGGGGCUAAUACCGGAUAGGAGCUCCUGCUGCAUGGUGUGGGUUGGAAAGUUUCGGCGGUUGGGGAUGGACUCGCGGCUUAUCAGCUUGUUGGUGGGGUAGUGGCUUACCAAGGCUUUGACGGGUAGCCGGCCUGAGAGGGUGACCGGCGACAAUAGGCGUGAGGAACGGCCCAGACUCCAAUGUGAGGCAGCAGUGGGGAAUAUUUUGCAAGGGUCGGUAUCCUUAUGCAGCAAUGCCCCGCUGAGGAUGACGGCCUUCAGUUUGUAUUCCGCUGUAGCCUGGCACGAAGCCUGGGUAACGGUACUGGGUAAAGAAGUACCGGCUAACUACGUG
rnacentral:rRNA from 1 species